rnacentral:tRNA from 1 species
GAUAAAAUGCCUGAAUAAAGGAUUAAAUUGUAAAUUUAAGAAUGAAUAUAUUAAAAUAUUCUUUUAUCA